rnacentral:rRNA from 1 species
GUCGGGAAUUUUGGGCAAUGGGCGAAAGCCUGACCCAGCAACGCCGCGUGAAGGAUGAAGUAUUUCGGUAUGUAAACUUCGAAAGAAUAGGAAGAAUAAAUGACGGUACUAUUUAUAAGGUCCGGCUAACUACGUGCCAGCAGCCGCGGUAAUACGUAGGGACCAAGCGUUGUUCGGAUUUACUGGGCGUAAAGGGCGCGUAGGCGGCUUUGUAAGUCACUUGUGAAAUCUCUGAGCUUAACUCAGAACGGCCAAGUGAUACUGCAAUGCUAGAGUGCAGAAGGGGCAAUCGGAAUUCUUGGUGUAGCGGUGAAAUGCGUAGAUAUCAAGAGGAACACCUGAGGUGAAGACGGGUUGCUGGGCUGACACUGACGCUGAUGCGCGAAAGCCAGGGGAGCAAACGGGAUUAGAUACCCCUGUAGUCC